rnacentral:lncRNA from 1 species
UGAAUGCACCGAGACUGUUCGGAUACAUAAAAACGCAUAAAACCCCCACUGCUAUAUGGCCUAUGGUCGAUAAAAGAUCGUCUCCAGUAUAUGAACUUGAGAAAACUAUUGCUAGAUGGGCAGCACCGCACCUCAAGGAUUAUCCGUAUACAGUAGACUCGCCCAUAGCCUUUUUAGAUAAGCUCCUGGAAGUAGGGCCCUUACCCGAGGAGACGUAUGCCAUUAUUGAUUACGACUCUCUAUAUCCGUCUGUUGAACAAGCACCGGCCGUGCUUAUGCUGUAUAGAUUCACGUUGGAACAUCUCCCUUGCCCUGAUGCUACUAAAGCACUGCUUAGAAACAGAAACAUAGUAC